CCUACGGGUGGCAGCAGUGAGGAAUAUUGGUCAAUGGACGAGAGUCUGAACCAGCCAAGUAGCGUGAAGGAUGACUGCCCUAUGGGUUGUAAACUUCUUUUAUAUGGGAAUAAAAUGUUCCACGUGUGUGAUUUUGUAUGUACCAUAUGAAUAAGGAUCGGCUAACUCCGUGCCAGCAGCCGCGGUAAUACGGAGGAUCCGAGCGUUAUCCGGAUUUAUUGGGUUUAAAGGGAGCGUAGGUGGAUUGUUAAGUCAGUUGUGAAAGUUUGCGGCUUAACCGUAAAAUUGCAGUUGAAACUGGCAGUCUUGAGUACAGUAGAGGUGGGCGGAAUUCGUGGUGUAGCGGUGAAAUGCUUAGAUAUCACGAAGAACUCCGAUGGCGAAGGCAGCUUACUGGACUGCAACUGACGCUGAGGCUCGAAAGUGUGGGUAUCAAACAGGAUUAGAUACCCCUGUAGUC
rnacentral:rRNA from 1 species